UUCGGCCUUAUCACGUUAAAACACCUGUUCGCGUACGAUCACCGAAGCUAAGAAAUAUAGAGCACGGUCAGUACUUAGACGGGUAACCGAUUAUGAAUAUCAGGUGUUGUAAU